UACGAAGGGGGCAAGCGUUGUCCGGAUUUAUUGGGCGUAAAGAGCGUGUAGGCGGCUUUACAGGUCCGUUGUGAAAACUCGAGGCUCAACCUCGAGACGCCGGUGGAAACCGUAAGGCUAGAGUCCGGAAGAGGAGAGUGGAAUUCCUGGUGUAGCGGUGAAAUGCGCAGAUAUCAGGAGGAACACCCGUGGCGAAAGCGGCUCUCUGGGACGGUACUGACGCUGAGACGCGAAAGCGUGGGGAGCGAACAGG
rnacentral:rRNA from 1 species